AGUGAAGCGGCAAGAGCUCAAAUUUGAAAUCUGGCCUCCCCCGGGGGCCCGAGUUGUAAUUUGCAGAGGAUGCUUCGGGUGCGGCCGCCGUCUAAGUUCCUUGGAACAGGACGUCAGAGAGGGUGAGAAUCCCGUCUUGGGCGGGCGGUCCGCGCCCGUGUGAAGCUCCUUCGACGAGUCGAGUUGUUUGGGAAUGCAGCUCUAAGCGGGUGGUAAAUUUCAUCUAAAGCUAAAUAUUGGCCGGAGACCGAUAGCGCACAAGUAGAGUGAUCGAAAGGUUAAAAGCACCUUGAAAAGGGAGUUAAACAGCACGUGAAAUUGUUGAAAGGGAAGCGCUUGCGGCCAGACUCGGGGGCGGGGUUCAGCGGGUGCUCGUCGCCCGUGUAUUCCUCGUCUCCCGGGCCAGCAUCAGUUUCGACGGCCGGUCAAAGGCCCCCGGAAUGUGUCGUCUCUCGGGACGUCUUAUAGCCGGGGGUGCAAUGCGGCCCGUCGGGACUGAGGAACGCGCUCCGGCUCGGAUGCUGGCGUAAUGGCCGUAAGCGGCCCGUCU
rnacentral:rRNA from 1 species